rnacentral:lncRNA from 13 species
AUGGUGCUUCGAGGCAAGCAGGGAGCACUUCUGCCUCACGGCUAUAAAUGUGGCUGUCGCCAACUUGCUAAAUGCUUCAUUGUUUCAUUUCGGCCUUCAUCAGCAGUGGGAAGAAGAACAUGUCUCCUCUCAACUGCCCAUAGGAGGAAGAAGGUGAGGGACCCAAGGAACAAAGCCAUCCAAGCUGAGCCCAGGCUAGAUCAGCUGGGUCCUGGCCCACACAGCAAUGUGCAAGUUUACUACAAAAAGGCAAAACAUCCAAAGAAGAGACUUCAAACAUCAAACAAACCAACCAGAAAUUCACGAAUUAUUGCUCGAGAUAAGUUUAUCAAGGUGAUCUGUGCUCAAUGUGUGGAUCUCAUGUCAGCAGCAUCAGCCUCACCUAGGGGCUUGUUAGAGCUGAAGAAUCUCAGAGUCCAUGGCAGAUUUCCUGAAUCAGGAGCUACAUUUUAACCAGAUCCUUGGGUGAUCUGAAAAUGCAGUAAAGUUUGGGAAGCACUGCUGUUGGUCAUUAAACAAUCUAAUGAACUAAGACUUUUGCUGAGCACCUGGUAGGUGGAGGGGGUCGAUUACACAAUUUAAACUGGCAGUCAUUUACAUCAGUACAAGUUGGCUGAGGUGGGAAUAAAAUGUUUGCUCAAGUGGUCUGUUGAUUUUUG